GGAAAAAUAAAACUUGAAAGCACAGCAGUCUGUCAUUAACCAGCUUCUGGCAACCAAGCAUCAAGAUUGGGGAAACGAGGAAAAAGGCUCCUGUGGUUCACUGUCAACAUGUUGCCUUCAAAGUUGGAGCAGGUUUCACCGCUAACAAAGGGAAACUGGGCCCAUUCAUCACGUCUUUAAAUAAAGGCACAUUCCACCGUUUUACAUGGAUAUAGCUGCUCCCUGUGCUGUGAGCUGCUGGUGGGAGAGACCAGGAGCUCGCCAUACCUAACCAUCACACCUGCCUGCAUGUACGGUCUAUUCUUGCGCUCUGCUGCCCUCUGCUGGAUUUCAAGCCACUAUCUUUAAUUUUAGCUUUUAGAUAACUGCCGUAAGAUGAGAAAUGGUGAUGUAUUUCUAUAGUUUCACCUGCAUUUGUGCAAACAUUUAACAAAUCUUAAAGUAGCUCUAUACCGUUCAUAGUCAGACAUUAUAGUUCAUUUUCUUCUUAUCACAAAGUAAAUAUUUCCUCCACUGCUGAGAAAAGUUCUUAAAACACUUUUUUCUCAUUUUUUUCUAAAUCAGCACUAAAAUGUUUAAGAGCUCUUUUCUAAAGGAGACUGCUGGUUGUAGAUACAACUGUAAAUAAAUGAAACAAACUAAA